rnacentral:ncRNA from 1 species
GCGGUACCGGUUCACGCUUUGCUGAUCAGCAGGCGACCCGGCGACC